rnacentral:rRNA from 1 species
UACGUAGGUGGCAAGCGUUGUCCGGAUUUACUGGGCGUAAAGAGCGCGCAGGCGGUCGUUCAAGUCGCGUGUGAAAGCCCCGGCUCAACUGGGGAGGGUCGACGCGUACUGAUCGACUCGAAGGCAGGAGAGGGUAGUGGAAUUCCCGGUGUAGUGGUGAAAUGCGUAGAUAGUCGGGAGGAACACCAGUGGCGAAGGCGACUACCUGGCCUGUUCUUGACGCUGAGG